rnacentral:rRNA from 1 species
ACGAACGCUGGCGGCGUGCUUAACGCAUGCAAGUCGAACGGAAAGGCCCUGCUUGCAGGGUCCUCGAGUGGCGAACGGGUGAGUAACACGUGGGUGAUCUGCCCUGCACUUCGGGAUAAGCCUGGGAAACUGGGUCUAAUACCGGAUAGGAGCCAUUUUUAGUGUGAUGGUUGGAAAGUUUUUUCGGUGUAGGAUGAGCUCGCGGCCUAUCAGCUUGUUGGUGGGGUAAUGGCCUACCAAGGCGGCGACGGGUAGCCGGCCUGAGAGGGUGGACGGCCACAUUGGGACUGAGAUACGGCCCAGACUCCUACGGGAGGCGGCAGUGGGGAAUAUUGCACAAUGGGCGCAAGCCUGAUGCAGCGACGCCGCGUGGGGGAUGACGGCCUUCGGGUUGUAAACUCCUUUCGCUAGGGACGAAGCUUUUUGUGACGGUACCUAGAUAAGAAGCACCGGCUAACUACGUG